CUACGGGGGGCAGCAGUGAGGAAUAUUGCGCAAUGGGCGAAAGCCUGACGCAGCGACGCCGCGUGAAGGAUGACGGCCUUCGGGUUGUAAACUUCUGUUAAGUGGGAAGAAAUAUCUAUUAGAAAUAUGAAUAGAGGAUGACGGUACCAUUAGAGAAAGCACCGGCUAACUUCGUGCCAGCAGCCGCGGUAAUAGCGAGGGGUGCAAGCGUUAUUCGGAAUUACUGGGUGUAAAGGGUGUGUAGGCGGUUUAUCAAGUCUGUUGUUAAAUCUUUCAGCCUAACUGAAAGCUUGCAGUGGAAACUGGUUUACUAGAGAGCGGAAGAGAGAGAUGGAAUUCUCGGAGUAGCGGUAAAAUGCGUGGAUCUCGAGAGGAACACCGAUGGCGAAGGCAGUCUCUUGGUCCGUUUCUGACGCUGAGACACGAAAGCGUGGGGAGCAAACAGGAUUAGAUACCCCAGUAGUC
rnacentral:rRNA from 1 species